rnacentral:rRNA from 1 species
UACGUAGGGUGCAAGCGUUGUCCGGAAUUAUUGGGCGUAAAGAGCUCGUAGGUGGCCUGUCGCGUCGGCUGUGAAAACUCGGGGGCCCAACUCCGAGCUUGCAGUCGAUACGGGCAGGCUAGAGUUCGGCAGGGGAGACUGGAAUUCCUGGUGUAGCGGUGAAAUGCGCAGAUAUCAGGAGGAACACCGGUGGCGAAGGCGGGUCUCUGGGCAGUAACUGACGCUGAGGAGCGAAAGCGUGGGGAGCGAACAGG